AAAAAGGCUUUUCGAGAAGCCAUUAAGAUAUUAAUAAGAUUUGCUU
rfam:Danaus plexippus plexippus isolate F-2 unplaced genomic scaffold DPSCF300407, whole genome shotgun sequence.